rnacentral:tRNA from 1 species
GGACACGUAGCUCAAUUGGAUAGAGCACCGACCUUCUAAGUCGGGGGUUACAGGUUCGAUCCCUGUCGUGUCCACCA